rnacentral:lncRNA from 1 species
UUCUAAACAGGCCUGGAGAAGUGCUGCUCAAGUUUGUGACUCGGUUUAAAAGCUGCAGAAGUUUUAAUCGACGCUGAUUCAGUGAAAUCCUGAUGUAAUCUGAUGUAAACAGCUCUAAAACACACGUCUCCACUUCCUCUUCCUCACCGCUGCAGCCCGGAGCUCAGCGCUGCUCAGCGACGCCCCUACCGAGGCGGAAGCCGCCAGUAGAGCGCAGGGCGCGUCCCAAACGGCAGGCUGCUCACUAUGUAGUGCACUAUGAAGGGCCCAAUUGCAUUUCACCACUUAGCCUUGGAUCUCUGUUUUGCGCGUGCGCUUCUAGGGAUAGGGGUCCUGAUUCUUGUUAAGUUCGAGGUGUAGGGUAAAGCGUUAAAGCUUCAUGGCUCUUCCAACAGAGAAUUUUCAGAGAAACACUGAAAACAGGGGACUGAGAAUCACUGGCACGAUGGCGGCACAACAAGCGCCCAAAUUAAGCCACAAAUGUAAAUAUUUUUCUUGUUAAAUGUGACGAUAACCGCUAUAAUACAACAAUUUAAUGUGUAUUUUCAGUGUUUUAUGGUAAUUUUCUACAUAACAAGCUUAAACUAAAAUUCUGGUAGUUUAUCUCAGUAGCUAGCUAGCUAUUUUUUCCUUUUUUUUAUAAUUUUUUAUCAUUUUGUAAAAGAAAAUAUUCAGAAAUUCGAGUCGAUCAGGAAAAGCACCAUGUCUACGUCAACACGUGAAUUAGUAUUCAUGGCCUCGCCCACCUUGCCUCGUGACCGCCCACAGGCAGCGCUGAAACCACUCAGCCAGGGAAGGCAACUGUGGAGUUCCUCUGGACCUGUUCCUCCACAUCUCUCUUGUUCCAUCUGUGUGCAUCAUAGCGAUACUGUCAUUCGUUCAACACAGAGAGAAGACACAGCCCUUUGAGGAACGGUUCCCCUACCUCAGAGGGCGAUUCGGAUUUGUUGUGUGAGUCACACACACACACACACAUUGCAUGCGUACCAGUGACUCAGUAUACACUGGCCUUUAGAGU